GUCCACACAGUAUAAUUAACCAUAAAACCCUUCCUAUAAAGAUGUAAUGUAACAACAUCUGGACUCAAUAACUUACAACACUUGCAAUUCCAACAAGGACACCUAAUUGUCCCUUCAGUAAGAAAAUUAUCAAGUGUCAUUGCUUUAGCAAUAAAUCCAGCUACCCCAGCUUUAUAUUCCUCCCUCAACCCCACACGGUUAGGAUAAGUUCUAUUAUACAUCCAUGUACGAUCUUCAUU
rnacentral:lncRNA from 1 species